AAUGAACGCUGGCGGCAGGCCUAACACAUGCAAGUCGAACGAGGCAGCAAUGCCUAGUGGCGGACGGGUGAGUAACGCGUGGGAACGUGCCCCUUGGUACGGAAUAGCCCCGGGAAACUGGGAGUAAUACCGUAUGUGGUCGAGAGACGAAAGAUUUAUCGCCAAGGGAUCGGCCCGCGUUGGAUUAGGUAGUUGGUGGGGUAAUGGCCUACCAAGCCGACGAUCCAUAGCUGGUUUGAGAGGAUGAUCAGCCACACUGGGACUGAGACACGGCCCAGACUCCUACGGGAGGCAGCAGUGGGGAAUCUUAGACAAUGGGGGGAAACCCUGAUCUAGCCAUGCCGCGUGAUCGAUGAAGGCCUUAGGGUUGUAAAGAUCUUUCAGGUGGGAAGAUAAUGACUGUACCACCAGAAGAAGCCCCGGCUAACUCCGUGCCAGCCGCCGCCGUAA
rnacentral:rRNA from 1 species